rnacentral:tRNA from 1 species
UAAAAGAUAAGCUAAAAAAGCUAUUGGGUUCAUACCCCACUUAUAAAGGUAUUACCCCUUUUCUUUUUA